GAAUUCUGAAGUAAGCACUCAGACAGAAAGUGCUGACAGAUUUCAGGCUGAAAAUGAGCACAUGAUGAUCAAGUUAAGUUUGUUAUCUCUUGAAUUAAGGAUGGUAAGUGGGUGUUUUGGCCGUGAUCCUACAGUGACAGGAAUAAUAUUUGGACCCUGUAACGGUACAACAUGAACUGGAACACCCCAGCCAUAAUCAACCUGGUUGAACCCUAAACUAUGCAGUUCCAAUACCUACUUGGGUAAAAAGAAAGAAAAGAAAAGAUGGACUUUUCUAUGUAACACAAAAGUCCUACAUACCGGAUGUCAAUUUGGUUAAGUUGGCAUGGAAUGAUAAGCUCAAAGAUCACCAACUUAGGCUACGCCCUCCUUGGCUUGUGCUAAGAGGGAGUAGGACAAGGAUAGUUUGUCACCCAAAAAAUAGAAAACCUCAGAAGAAAAAUAUUCAAAAUUACUAUGCGAAUUUUGAAAACGGAAUUCGGCACCCUCCCCGGCCAGUACACAAGCGCUCCUUAAUAGCAGCGGUGAAUUUUAUGGAUAUGUCCAGUAACAAGUUCACCCGUACCAAAUUCCCCCACUUAAAGGAAAGUAGGAAACCGUUUCCGUUACAACCAUAACCCAUAUAUAUAAACUUUAUUUUCCUUGUUGGAGACGAAGAGAAAGAGGAGUUUUUCUCAUAAGGGAGAGGAAGAUCAGAGUGAGUGAAAUCGUCUUGUGCAACCAACAGAUGACGACUUCAAACAACAAACGUAAGAGUAUUUUCGUUACAAUUUUUGAUGAACCUGAGGAACCCAUAGACGAGGCGGAACGUAAGAGCACUCGUAUCUUUCUUUUGGUUAAUCCAUGCUCGGAUAUCUAACUUUGUUUCUUUUUUUUUUUUAGUUUUUAAUUCAAUUUUCUUGAAAUCUAUUGAUGUCUAUCCGUUUGGCGCAAGAGGCAACGAGAGGAUGCAGGGAAGAGAUGGCGAAAAGAUUUUUCGACGGGAUUAGUGAAGAACCAGAACCACUAAUUGACUAUGACAAAAUGACCCGGGACGAAAUUUUGGAGUAUGAAGAAAUUUUUUUGCUGAGAGAACAAAAAUAUGGCAUGAUCGACUUGAUAAAAACAUAAAGGAUUUGAUAGCUAAAGAAGCGCCACUGAUAGAGAAGCAACAGCGCGAAGACAAAAAGAGGGAAAUCAUUGAAGCUAGAGAAUUGCAGACUUACUUGAGAACAACCCGCUAAAUAAGAAGUCUUUUAUAUCGGAUAUUGAAAGAUACAGUAGCAUAUAUGUUUUCUCUUUCGGUUACGCAAAACUUGAAAGUCCCGAGUACAAGAAGUUCAUUAAAUCUCUCAACGACGACAAUUCCUACAAGGUUUAUUUUGGACGUAAAAAAGCUUUGGCAAGGAUUGUUGGACUGGCCUCAGAAGCAGAAUUCAAUCCUGAACUCAAACCUGGAGACCGAGGAUAUGAAACUAAAGAGUUGCGACCUGGUCUCCAUGAAAUUGGAAGUAUGCUUCAGAAUUACGAUGAUGCCGCUGUUCUUUUAACUGACAAAACCAAAGAUGACGUUCUCAGGAAGUUUAAAGAAUAUAUUGAAUGCGACUUUGUAAAGACAGGCUAGACACCAAUGAAACCGCUGGUAUUUGAGAAAAAUGAGUUUCUGACUUUACCUCCCCGUUCAAGUGCAACCAAUUGGUGUGUCAAAUUGAAGGAAUUAGGCAUGCCUGUUGAACUCAGUGGCGGGCGCAUUAAGCUGACCAAAAUAUUUAAUGUGUGUGAAGAUGGAGUACGUGUGACAGAGGAUGCCACUAAAAUUCUGAGACUUCUUAAAAACAAGAUGUAUGUCCUUGUGCCAUUAUGCUGCUGGAGUGCCUCCACUGGAGAAACAGAAUAUUUUCAUUUGGACACGCCUAAGAGUCGGUAAAUUGGGGAUCUCCGCAUCUUGGUUUGCAGCUAAGUAGGCAGCUGUUUCAGAUAAGGAUCAUGUCAAGGGUGAAGAUCCGUAAAUUUUUGGUUCACUCUGUAUGAAGCUAAACUAAGAACACCUUUAAUGUUUGUCAAGGGUGAAGAUGGGUGAAUUUUUGCUUCAUUAUGUGUUGAGCUAAAUUAAGAACAUUUUCAGGUACUUCAUUUAUUUAUUUUGAAGCAUGAAUAUUAUUAAUCUACAACAACGCUGU